rnacentral:tRNA from 1 species
AUAAGCUUAGUUAAUUUAUAACAUUAAAUUGUCAAUUUAAAAUUAUUUUUUUUUUAAAAAAUAGCUUUUA